AAGUACGUCGUCUUGUGUGCUCCUUUGAGCUCAACGAGAUAAACACUUCCUAUAUCUCCGUAACCUAGCCGUUUCAGAACGCGGAAAUCGCUGAUUCCGAGCUUGAGUCCUCUCGCUUUCAGAUAGUUCACCGCGUCCCACCUGAUAUCUCCUCCCGUGUGAGGCUUGUUGGAUGAUGUGCUUUCCAUGCUGUUGCUUCGUGAGCUCAUGGUACUGUGUACAAGUCGGGUAUUCAGAUUGAUGAUUGUUGUUGAGAUGUUGAGGCCGAGUCACGAUGAAGACUCUUCUGCAAGUAACGGAAAAAGAACAUUAGGGUUAUGAGUUUCACAACUUUCUGUAAAGCAGUUUGUGUAUAUGACACAACUUUAUAGUCUUUAUUAUUGACAUGAUAUUUUGUGUUUAUCUAUUCACACAAGAUCACCCUAAGUAGCCAAACUUAUCUAUCUAUACAUGUAUAUCUAAUAGGAUAUGUGUAUAUCCGUAUAACUUCUGAUACUUUCGUCAAGGAUGAUAUGAUUGAGAUGAUUACCUUCGGCGA